UCAUCUUUCUACAUAAUAUUGUUAUUAAAAGCUACUGUUUUCCAUGGAAGAUGGUAUCAACUACUCGCUGUCUCAGGGCCACUCGCUCUGAAAUGAUGCUUCUAUUGGAGAGAGGUUUACAUUGUCCACGUUUGGAGGUUCUAUUCUUUUCCAUGUAAGAUGCGGAACUGGAUGGAUCUAGGUUUGAAUGCUGUUCUGCUAUUUACAACUUGCAUGACUUUGGUCGAGUUCCUUGUGCCUUCGUUUCUUUAUGUGUCCAUCUCAUGGUAAGUGAACUCCUCAUGCCCUGACCCUGCCUUGACUGAACAGAGCUUCUUAGGAAUAACUCCCUUUCAUUCUCGGAGUGGGAUGACAUUCCUGAGUUCAACAGUCUUCCUAAAUAAGAGUGCCACACAUGGAAUAUGUGUCACGUGAAAAAUGUGUGUGUUAUCUUGUUCUCUCAACUGCUUCUUCUAAUUAGUCCAGUUUGUAUCUGUGGGACUAAAUGGGACAGGUUUCGUUCUUAAUUCAAUCCUACUUAUCUCACUAGUGUAGGUUUGGCUCUUACCAUUUUAUUUGUUCACAUUCAAUGUGAAAAUCAAGACAAAUCUAUUUCCUGAAACACACAAAGCAGUAUGAUGCUGUUUAUUAUUAUUAUUAUUUUAAUUUUAGUUUUGUACUAGCUAGGGAUUGAACCCAGGGGCUCUCUACCACUGAGCUACCACAUCCCCUUUCCUUUUUAUUUUUUUGAGACUGGGUCUCAUUAAGUUGCUCAGGCUGGCCUUAAAUGUGCCUCAGCCUCCAGAAUUACUGGGAUUCAGGCAUACACCACUGGCUCUUUUACUUUUUAAAAAAUGCUCCUGGUUCCUUAUUAACUCUCUAGCCUUCAUGAGGACAACUUAAGAAUCAUCUACAAGGAGGAAGAAAUGACUUCUCUCUACCUGACUUACAUGCCUGUCCCCUGUAAGGAGGCACUGACUUGUGACUGCGAGAACUCCCUGCUCAUCUCAAGAGCAAGUGCUUCCCUGCUUUUCUCCCCUCACUGAAAGCACUGAGAGCACACAACUGGUGUCAUUUAGAAACCCCUGUCUCUCUAAUCUCUGAUUCUAGUCUCUUCCCCACUACACAUACCACAUCUUCCAAGAUGUGGCUCACACAAUGCUGGGCUCAUGGAGGUAUUUUUAAAAUUUAAAUUUUUCUUUGAAGGUGCUGGGGAUAGAACCCAGGGCCUUGCACAUGCUAGGCAAGUGCUCUACCGUUGAACUAUAUCCUCACCCCAUCAAAGUGUUUUUUUUUAGAGGAACAGUAUUCAUAUCAUUUUAAUAAAGUGAUUCACUUUCCAAUAAAUAAAUGACAGAAGCCAAAAUAAGAAUUUUGGAAAACUUCUAUCUACCACAGUGAGCAUGACAGCUUCCCCAAUAAGUAAAUUCUUUCCUAAUGAGACUAGUGGUGAUAGUAACAAGUGAUUUUUUUAUACUUUUUAUAAUGAAAUGUGACAGUAUUUGAAAGAUCUAUAUAAUCAGAAAAAAUAUUACCAAAUGACUACAUGAUAUAACAAUUUGUAUGUCAUUAAAUCCAAUUCUUGUUUUGCAGAUGAACCCAAAGACACAGUGGCUUACAGUGCCCCAGGAAGCUAGUGGCAUGAUUGUCUCAGUUUCCCCACGGCACAGAGAGUCUUUAAAGAGUUUGAGGUCUAAUGUCUAAGACAAUACAGAAGCACACAAAUAACCACAAGAAAAGAUAUUAUAUGAGAAAUAGAAAGUGUGAAGGCAGAAGGAAGGGGGAGAAAUCACACCUUUUUAAGCAGGGGUGUGGUGUGAGUAGGAGGACAAUCAGGAUUGUGUAUGAUAAUUCUCAACCUUCUUAGUUUCAAUAUCUUUUUAGGCUCUUAAGAAUUAUUUUGAAUCCCAAAGAGGUUUUUUUUUUGUUUGUGUG